UAACAAGGAUUCCCCUAGUAACUGCGAGUGAAGCGGGAAAAGCUCAAAUUAAAAUCUGGCGACCUUUGGCCGUCCGAGUUGUAAUCUAGAGAAGUGUUAUCCGCGCUGGACCGUGUACAAGUCUCCUGGAAUGGAGCGUCAUAGAGGGUGAGAAUCCCGUCUUUGACACGGACUGCCAGGGCUUUGUGAUGCGCUCUCAAAGAGUCGAGUUGUUUGGGAAUGCAGCUCAAAAUGGGUGGUAAAUUCCAUCUAAAGCUAAAUAUUGGCGAGAGACCGAUAGCGAACAAGUACCGUGAGGGAAAGAUGAAAAGAACUUUGGAAAGAGAGUUAAACAGUACGUGAAAUUGCUGAAAGGGAAACGCUUGAAGUCAGUCGCGUUGUCUGGGAAUCAACCUUGCUUUUGCUGGGCGUACUUUCCAGAUGACGGGCCAGCAUCAAUUUUGACCGUUGGAUAAAGGUUGGAGGAAUGUGGCAUCCUCGGAUGUGUUAUAGCCUCCAGCUGUAUACAACGGUUGGGAUUGAGGAACCCAGCACGCCGCAAGGCCGGGUACUUGUACCACGUUCGUGCUUA
rnacentral:rRNA from 1 species